rnacentral:tRNA from 1 species
UGGUUCAAUGGUUAGAACGUUUGACUUCUGAUCAACAGGUCGCGGGUUCAAACCUCGG